CCUACGGGUGGCAGCAGUGGGGGAUAUUGCACAAUGGGGGGAACCCUGAUGCAGCGACGCCGCGUGAGCGAUGGAGUACUUCGGUAUGUAAAGCUCUGUCAGCAGGGAAGAAAAUGACGGUACCUGACCAAGAAGCCCCGGCUAAAUACGUGCCAGCAGCCGCGGUAUUACGUAUGGGGCAAGCGUUAUCUGGGUUUACGGGGGGGAAAGGGAGCGUAGGCGGAAGGGCAAGCCUGAUGGGAAAGCCCGGGGCUCAACCCCGGGACUUCAUUGAGAACUGCCCUGCUGGAGUGCCGGCGGGGCAGGCGGAAUGCCUGGUGUAGCGGGGAAAUGCGUAGAUAUUAGGGGGAACACCAGUGGCGAAGGCGGCCUGCGGGACGGUGACGGACGCUGAGGCUCGAAAGCGUGGGGAGCAAACAGGAUUAGAUACCCAGUAGUC
rnacentral:rRNA from 1 species